AUUAGAGUUAGAGGUUGCAUCUUUAAUUAGUAACUAGUCAGAAGUCGUAUGGGACAUGUGUUGAAUUAGUGAAAGGUAACGAUGCCGAAACAAUUGUAAAACCAUAAUUUAUAAUUGUUGGGACAGUUUUCGACAAGAAGCUGUACUGUCACAGAAUGUGAUGUGCUACCUUAUAU
rfam:Staphylococcus capitis strain CR03 genome assembly, contig: BN1517_Contig_7